AUCUGUCGUGGGCGCAGGAAAUUUGAGAGGAGCUGUCCUUAGUACGAGAGGACCGGGAUGGACGCACCGCUGGUGUACCAGUUGUUCCGCCAGGAGCAUAGCUGGGUAGCCAAGUGCGGACGGGAUAAGCGCUGAAAGCAUCUAAGCGUGAAGCCCCCCUCAAGAUGAGAUUUCCCAAUUAGUAAGACCCCUGAAAGACGAUCAGGUUGAUAGGUUCGAGGUGGAAGCGCAGCAAUGUGUGGAGCUGACGAAUACUAAUCGGUCGAGGGCUUAUCCUA
rnacentral:rRNA from 1 species